GACGAACGCUGGCGGCGUGCUUAACACAUGCAAGUCGAACGGAUAGGCCCUGCUUUUGUGUGGUUCUCGAGUGGCGAAAGGGUGAGUAACACGUGAGUAACCUGCCCUUUACUUUGGGAUAACUUCAGGAAACUGGGUCUAAUACCGGAUAUGAGCUCCUGCUGCAUGGUUUGGGUUGGAAAGUUUCGGCGGUUGGGGAUGGACUCGCGGCUUAUCAGCUUGUUGGUGGGGUAGUGGCUUACCAAGGCUUUGACGGGUAGCCGGACUGAGAGGGUGACCGGCCACAUUGGGACUGAGAUACGGCCCAGACUCAUACGGGAGGCAGCAGUGGGGAAUAUUGCACAAUGGGCGGAAGCCUGAUGCAGCAACGCCGCGUGCGAGAUGACGGCCUUCGGGUUGUAACCCGCAUUCGCCUGUGACGAAGCGUGCGUGACGGUAAUGGGUAAAGAAGCAACGGCUAACUACGUG
rnacentral:rRNA from 1 species